UACAGAGGUCUCAAGCGUUGUUCGGAUUCAUUGGGCGUAAAGGGUGUGUAGGUGGCGCGCUAAGUCGGGUGUGAAAUUUCGGAGCUUAACUCCGAAACUGCAUUCGAUACUGCGGUGCUUGAGGACUGGAGAGGAGACUGGAAUUCAUGGUGUAGCAGUGAAAUGCGUAGAGAUCAUGAGGAAGACCAGUGGCGAAGGCGGCUCACUGGCCCGAUACUGACGCUGAGGCACGAAAGCGUGGGGAGCAAACAGG
rnacentral:rRNA from 1 species